CAAGUGCUCAAGCUCCCAAACACAAAGCCACUGUAGGACCCAUGAAUGCUUACCUGCUCGUUUCCAAAUUUGAGUCGUUGCUGAACGACUUCAUGGGGCAGUAGCAUCAUCAGGCUUUUCCUGUUCUGAGUAGUCACCCCCGAUGUUACCUGUUCAUAGAGUCUCCAAAGCUAUAUCGUAGAAGUCAUCAAAACACUUGCUAUAAUGCUUUUUGUCUCUUUUUUCAAAACUCCUGCCGACGCCGCGGACCCUGCCGACGCCGCGGACCCUGCCCGACGCCGCCGACCCUGCCCGACGCCGCCGACCCUGCCCGACGCCUCACAAGUCUCCCAGCUCAGAGCCAACCAGCUAUUAGUCUGGCGCAACGGAUUUGUGCAUUCCUUGCACUAGCUGUUCCUUCACCUCCUCUUCACGUACAAGGACACGCGUCUCUUUCACGCUCCUUCAGGAGUAAACAAGCCAGGAGAGAUUAAAGCCUCUUUCUCCAGAAAGAUGCUUCUAGUUUCCUUAGUCUCCUUGGAGAGACAGGUAUCUGGAUAUUUAACUUGGAAGAAAGAUGAGCAACACUAGCAAGCUUCCCAAAGCAAAAUUUCCAUUUCCCCCAUACAAGGACGUAAAAAGAUGGGAAUAAUUGUGCAUUUAUGGAAGGCUGUCCCAUGUUUUUCCACUGGUUUUCAUCUGGUUUGGUUCACCUGCAGAAAGGGAAGAAGCACCAGAGCUUAUCUCCAUUUUCAAGAGAAGGCAACUGUUUCUGGGACCAAACUGUCAGGCUACAGCAUACGGAUGUAUCAAACAAAGCUUCACGUCAUCUUUCAAAUCCACCCUUUUAUUCGAAUAUUCUUGAAAAUUAACAUUAAAAGUAGAUAGUGCUU